UAGGGAAUCUUCGGCAAUGGACGAAAGUCUGACCGAGCAACGCCGCGUGAGUGAAGAAGGUUUUCGGAUCGUAAAACUCUGUUGGUAGAGAAGAACGUUGGUGAGAGUGGAAAGCUCAUCAAGUGACGGUAACUACCCAGAAAGGGACGGCUAACUACGUGCCAGCAGCCGCGGUAAUACGUAGGUCCCGAGCGUUGUCCGGAUUUAUUGGGCGUAAAGCGAGCGCAGGUGGUUUAUUAAGUCUGGUGUAAAAGGCAGUGCUCAA
rnacentral:rRNA from 1 species